rnacentral:rRNA from 1 species
UUACCGAGUAAGGGUCUCACUGGCCCGAUCUCCCAACCCUUUGUCUACUUGACCAUCGUUGCUUCGGCGAGCCCGUCCUCACGGACCGCCGGGGGGUCUCUGCACCCCUUGGCCCGCGCUCGUCGAUAGCCCCCAAACUUAAAAAAUCUUAACUAAACGUGUCUUGAAUCUAAGUAUUAUUGUUAAAUAAAAACAAAACUUUCAACAACGGAUCUCUUGGCUCUGGCAUCGAUGAAGAACGCAGCGAAAUGCGAUAAGUAAUGCGAAUUGCAGAAUUCCAGUGAGUCAUCGAAUCUUUGAACGCACAUUGCGCCCUUUGGUAUUCCGAAGGGCAUGCCUGUUCGAGCGUCAUUAUCACCCCUCAAGCCCUCGGCUUGGUGUUGGACGGUUUGGUGGAGACCCCCUUCGCGGGCUUCUACCCCUCCCAAAGACAAUGACGGCGGCCUCGUUGGACCCCCGGUACACUGAGUUCUUCACGGGACACGUAUCGGACACAUGGGUUUACGGGACACGGUCUGCCUCCCCUCAGGGAGAAUCUUUUUUAUCAAGGUUGACCUCGGAUCAGGUAGGGAUACCCGCUGAACUUAAGCAUAUCAAUAAGCGGAGGAAAAGAAACCAACAGGGAUUGCCUCAGUAACGGCGAGUGAAGCGGCAACAGCUCAAUUUGAAAUCUGGCCCCUUUGGGGGUCCGAGUUGUAUUU